rnacentral:rRNA from 1 species
AUUGAACGCUGGCGGCAGGCUUAACACAUGCAAGUCGAGCGGGGUGAUGGUGCUUGCACUAUCACUUAGCGGCGGACGGGUGAGUAAUGCUUAGGAAUCUGCCUAUUAGUGGGGGACAACAUCUCGAAAGGGAUGCUAAUACCGCAUACGUCCUACGGGAGAAAGCAAGGGAUCACUUGUGACCUUGCGCUAAUAGAUGAGCCUAAGUCGGGUUAGCUAGUUGGUGGGGUAAAGGCCUACCAAGGCGACGAUCUGUAGCGGGUCUGAGAGGAUGAUCCGCCACACUGGGACUGAGGCACGGCCCAGACUCCUACGGGAGGCAGCAGUGGGGAAUAUUGGACAAUGGGGGGAACCCUGAUCCAGCCAUGCCGCGUGUGUGAAGAAGGCCUUAUGGUUGUAAAGCACUUUAAGCGAGGAGGAGGCUCUUUUGGUUAAUACCCAAGAUGAGUGGACGUUACUCGCAGAAUAAGCACCGGCUAACUCUGUGCCAGCCGCCGCCGUAA